CAGUUUCCCAUCUGCAAAAUGGGAUGAUAACAGCAAACUUCACCACUUGUGAUGAGGAUUCGGAGAGUGAAUCUUUGGCCCAGCACAAGGCCUGUAAGGUGUUUCACAUGGCAGAGUUGGUGGCGGGUCACCAAGGUGGUGGUGUCCCAGGUUGAAGGAACCUUUCUAGAAAUUCCAUUGCCUGGAAGGAUCCAGUGACACACAGUGGACCCUGAGCCACAAAACAGACUGUGGUAACUGCUGGGGCCUCCCGCAGGGUGAUCCCCGAGGAGGCUGGGAGGAGCUCAGCCCUUUCUUCUGCUGGGGGCAUGUGCAGGCAUGGAGACUGCCCGGCCCCUUCCUGUCCUGUUGGGGCAUGAUUUUCAACAGAGGGAGGAUUCUGGGCAUGUUUUCCUUUGGAAGUCUCACCAGGCUGAGCAGGACUUAGAGGAACUCCGGCUACGUUUGCUGUCCCAACAAAUAGACCAGAGCCUCACACUUGCUGCCUCCUCUGCCUGGAACUCUCUCCCUCUGCUCUCACAGGGUUCCCUAAGUGUCGCUUCCUCCAAGAAGCCCUCCCUGAUGAGUUGAGCCACUUUAGUUUGUGCUCAGGCUCACCCUGCACGUCUUGGUUGCUCUCAUCACUGUAAUGAUCUAAAACACACGUCUGCUCAUGAGACCCGCAUCCCACCCCCGAUGCUGGGGCCGCUCUUGGAUUUUCAUGCCUGCUGCCAGCACCCAGGGGGAGCUCCGGAAAUGUCUGCUGGGGGCUCGGAAUACCCACCUUUCUGGUAAUGCAGCCCAGCGGGUCCCAGCCUCGUUUUCCAGCCCUCACUCAAAAUGGAGUCGCUCUGGUUCGAACGCCUCUGACAAGUGUGUACCUACGUGUCAGGCCCAUCCUUCCUGCAGGCCUUUGUCUUGGUGUCACCCUGCCUGAGCUGGCCCCAACCACAGUAGCAACAGUGAUGCUGAUGUGUGACUGCUGCCAGGAGCCUGCUCACAUGACCGUGUGGAGAAAGUUCUUUCCCUGAGGACCAUCUGGAGUGGACGCGUGCACUACCCCUCUCUGAAUACACCCUCCCCACGAGGCCCUCUGGAGCAUCCUGUAGAGCCAGCCCCUACCCAGAGACCCUGAGCCCAGAGAAUGCGCUGGGUGGUGAGCCUGGGGACGAAUGCAGAGCCCUAGGUCUCCUCUCCAGAAAGACCGGAUUUUGCCAUGUUGGCCAGGCUGGUCUUGAACUCCUGACCUCAAGUGAUCCACCUGCCUCGGCCUCCCAAAGUGCAGGGAUUACAGGUGUGAGCCACUGCACCCGGCCUCAGGCAGGUAUUUUUACCAGCCGAAUACUCUUGCACUGUGCACUCUUCGUGUUCAUCAUCAGUCCCCCGGAUGGGUGUUUAAGGCAUUUCCAAAGCUCUGUUAUUAAAAACACGAUGCAAUGAGUUUCUUUCAGCAUUUCCCCUUGUUGCCGUGUGAAUGCGUCCGUGGUAUA
rnacentral:lncRNA from 1 species